UACGGGGGGGGCAAGCGUUGUUCGGAAUUACUGGGCGUAAAGGGCUCGUAGGCGGCCAACUAAGUCAGACGUGAAAUCCCUCGGCUUAACCGGGGAACUGCGUCUGAUACUGGAUGGCUUGAGGUUGGGAGAGGGAUGCGGAAUUCCAGGUGUAACGGUGAAAUGCGUAGAUAUCUGGAGGAACACCGGUGGCGAAGGCGGCAUCCUGGACCAAUUCUGACGCUGAGUGAGCGAAAGCCAGGGGAGCAAACGGG
rnacentral:rRNA from 1 species